rnacentral:rRNA from 1 species
AGAGUUUGAUCAUGGCUCAGGAUGAACGCUAGCGACAGGCUUAACACAUGCAAGUCGAGGGGCAGCACAGGUAGCAAUACCGGGUGGCGACCGGCGCACGGGUGAGUAACGCGUAUGCAACUUACCUAUCAGAGGGGGAUAACCCGGCGAAAGUCGGACUAAUACCGCAUGAAGCAGGGGCCCCGCAUGGGGAUAUUUGCUAAAGAUUCAUCGCUGAUAGAUAGGCAUGCGUUCCAUUAGGCAGUUGGCGGGGUAACGGCCCACCAAACCGACGAUGGAUAGGGGGUUCUGAGAGGAAGGUCCCCCCACAUUGGUACUGAGACACGGACCAAACUCCUACGGGAGGCAGCA